ACAUAAGUCAUUCCCACUUAAAGAUUUAUCGCCUUGAGAGGGGCCUAUGGCCUAUCAGCUAGUUGGUGAGGUAACGGCUCACCAAGGCUACGACGGGUAGCGGGCGUGAGAGCGCGACCCGCCUCACUGGGACUGAGACACUGCCCAGACUCCUACGGGAGGCUGCAGUCAAGAAUCUUCCCCAAUGGCCGAAAGGCUGAGGGAGCGACGCCGCGUGGUCGAAGAAGCCCUUCGGGGUGUAAAUUACCUUUUCUCAGGGACGAACACAUGACGGUACCUGAGGAAUAAG
rnacentral:rRNA from 1 species